rnacentral:rRNA from 1 species
UACAGAGGGUGCAAGCGUUAAUCGGAAUUACUGGGCGUAAAGCGUGCGUAGACGGUUACACAAGUCAGGUGUGAAAGCCCCGGGCUCAACCUGGGAAUUGCAUUUGAGACUGUGUAGCUAGGGUGCGGAAGAGGGAAGCGGAAUUUCCGGUGUAGCGGUGAAAUGCGUAGAUAUCGGAAGGAACACCAGUGGCGAAAGCGACCACCUGGCCCAACACUGACGCUGAGGUGCGAAAGCGUGGGUAGCAAACAGG